rnacentral:rRNA from 1 species
AGAGUUUGAUCCUGGCUCAGGAUGAACUUCUGGCGGCGUGCUUAACACAUGCAAGUUGAACGAAGCUCUUUGGACAGAUUCCUUCGGGAAGAAGUACAUUGAGACUUAGUGGCGAACGGGUGAGUAACACGUGAGCAACCAACCCUUGACAGUGGAAUAACAACGGGAAACCGUUGCUAAUACCACAUAAAAUCUUUAUACGGCAUCGUAUUUAGAUCAAAGAUUUAUCGGUCAAGGACGGGCUCGCGUCCGAUUAGGUAGUUGGUAAGGUAAUGGCUUACCAAGCCUACGAUCGGUAGCCGGACUGAGAGGUCGAUCGGCUACAUUGGGACUGAGAUACGGCCCAGACUCCUACGGGAGGCAGCAGUGGGGAAUAUUGGGCAAUGGACGCAAGUCUGACCCAGCGACGCCGCGUGAAGGACGAAGGCAUUCGUGUUGUAAACUUCUUUGGAGAGGGACGAAAUUGACGGUACCUCUCGAACAAGCCACGGCUAACUACGUGCCAGCAGCCGCGGUAAUACGUAGGUGGCAAGCGUUAUCCGGAAUUACUGGGUGUAAAGGGCGCGCAGGCGGCCUUGCAAGUCGGAUGUGAAAGAUCAAGGCUCAACCUUGACAGGUCAUCCGAAACUGUAAGACUUGAGUGUCAGAGGGGAAAGUGGAAUUCCUAGUGGAGCGGUAAAAUGCGCAGAUAUUAGGAGGAACACCGGUGGCGAAGGCGACUUUCUGGCUGACAACUGACGCUGAGGCGCGAAAGCGUGGGGAGCAAAUCAGGAUAAGAUACCCUGGUAGUCCACGCCGUAAACG